rnacentral:rRNA from 1 species
CCUACGGGUGGCUGCAGUGGGGAAUAUUGGACAAUGGGGGCAACCCUGAUCCAGCCAUGCCGCGUGUGUGAAGAAGGCCCUCGGGUUGUAAAGCACUUUCAGCGAGGAAGAACGCCUGGUGGUUAAUACCCAUCAGGAAAGACAUCACUCACAGAAGAAGCACCGGCUAACUCCGUGCCAGCAGCCGCGGUAAUACGGAGGGUGCGAGCGUUAAUCGGAAUUACUGGGCGUAAAGCGCGCGUAGGUGGCUUGAUAAGCCGGUUGUGAAAGCCCCGGGCUCAACCUGGGAACGGCAUCCGGAACUGGCAAGCUAGAGUGCAGUAGAGGAAGGUAGAAUUCCCGGUGUAGCGGUGAAAUGCGUAGAGAUCGGGAGGAAUACCAGUGGCGAAGGCGGCCUUCUGGACUGACACUGACACUGAGGUGCGAAAGCGUGGGUAGCAAACAGGAUUAGAUACCCCAGUAGUC